GACGAACGCUGGCGGCGUGCUUAACACAUGCAAGUCGAACGGUGAAGCGCCUUCCUUUUUGGUGGGUGUGGAUGAGUGGCGAACGGGUGAGUAACACGUGAGUAACCUGCCCCCUUCUUCUGGAUAACCGCGUGAAAGUGUGGCUAAUACGGGAUAUUCUGGGUCUGUCGCAUGAUGGGUCUGGGAAAGAUAUUGUUUCGGUGGGGGAUGGGCUCGCGGCCUAUCAGCUUGUUGGUGGGGUGAUGGCCUACCAAGGCGGUGACGGGUAGCCGGCCUGAGAGGGUGGACGGUCACACUGGGAAUACGCCACGGACCAGCCUCCUACGGGAGGCAGCAGUGGGGAAUAUUGCACAAUGGGCGCAAGCCUGAUGCAGCGACGCCGCGUGAGGGAUGGAGGCCUUCGGGUUGUGAACCUCUUUCGCCAGUGAAGCAGGCCUGCCUCGUUUGUGGGUGGGUUGACGGUAGCUGGAUAAGAAGCGCCGGCUAACUACGUG
rnacentral:rRNA from 1 species